rnacentral:rRNA from 1 species
CCUACGGGGGGCUGCAGUGGGGAAUAUUGCACAAUGGGCGCAAGCCUGAUGCAGCCAUGCCGCGUGUGUGAAGAAGGCCUUCGGGUUGUAAAGCACUUUCAGCGGGGAGGAAGGCGGUGAGGUUAAUAACCUCAUCGAUUGACGUUACCCGCAGAAGAAGCACCGGCUAACUCCGUGCCAGCAGCCCCGGUAAUACGGAGGGUGCAAGCGUUAAUCGGAAUUACUGGGCGUAAGGCGCACGCAGGCGGUCUGUCAAGUCGGAUGUGAAAUCCCCGGGCUCAACCUGGGAACUGCAUUCGAAACUGGCAGGCUAGAGUCUUGUAGAGGGGGGUAGAAUUCCAGGUGUAGCGGUGAAAUGCGUAGAGAUCUGGAGGAAUACCGGUGGCGAAGGCGGCCCCCUGGACAAAGACUGACGCUCAGGUGCGAAAGCGUGGGGAGCAAACAGGAUUAGAUACCCUGGUAGUC